GGAGAGGUUGAAGAAUUUGGUCGAAGAGGUUGCUGGGUUUUGGAAGAGAUAGCUGAUGUUCACAAAAGGGAAUUUUCACGUCAUCAUCUGAGUAGAAGUUUAACAAGGUUAAAUGUCAUUUUGCAUAUCAAUUUCUACAAGACAAUCUCAGAG